GUCCGUAUAGCAUAGUGGUAGUGCAUCCGCUUUACACGCGGAAGGUCCUAGGUUCGAUCCCUAGUGCGGACA
rnacentral:tRNA from 2 species